rnacentral:rRNA from 1 species
GACGAACACUGGCGGCGUGCCUAACACAUGCAAGUCGAGCGAGAAAGCCCACAAGGGUGAGUAAAGCGGCGCACGGGUGCGUAACACGUGGGUAAUCUGCCCUGAAGUCCGGAAUAACCCGCCGAAAGGCGUGCUAAUGCCGGCUGAGACCACGGGAGCCUCGGCUCCUGCGGGACAAGGUGGCCUCUGUAUACAAGCUAUCACCUCAGGAGGAGCCAGCGGCCCAUCAGCUCGUUGGCGGGGUAAUGGCCCACCAAGGCUACGACGGGUAGCUGGGCUGAGAGGACGAUCAGCCACACUGGAACUGAGACACGGUCCAGACUCCUACGGGAGGCAGCAGUGGGGAAUCUUGCGCAAUGGGCGAAAGCCUGACGCAGCAACGCCGCGUGUGUGAUGAAGGUCUUCGGAUCGUAAAGCACUGUCGCGAGGGACGAAUAAGGGGCGAGCUAACAUCUCGUUCCGAUGACGGUACCUCGAGAGGAAGCACCGGCUAACUCUGUGCCAGCAGCCGCGGUAACAC